UACGUAGGGUGUAAGCGUUGUCCGGAAUUAUUGGGCGUAAAGAGCUCGUAGGCGGUCUGUCGCGUCGGCUGUGAAAACCCGAGGCUCAACCUCGGGCCUGCAGUCGAUACGGGCAAACUAGAGUACUGCAGGGGAGACUGGAAUUCCUGGUGUAGCGGUGAAAUGCGCAGAUAUCAGGAGGAACACCGGUGGCGAAGGCGGGUCUCUGGGCCGAUACUGACGCUGAGGAGCGAAAGCGUGGGGAGCGAACAGG
rnacentral:rRNA from 1 species